ensembl:lncRNA
GUGUAAUUAACUUGAACUAAUUCAAUGAAAGUGCUACUGAAUGCAUACAUACUUGAACUAAAUGUACAUUCUCCAACAGACAGACACUACAAGUACAGUCAAUAUUUUUUAUAUUGUCACACAUCCAUGCAGAUUUUCCCUGUUAAUAUAGUUUAAGCUUCCACACUGUGGAAGAAUUACAACUGUGCACAACACGGAAAGGUGACCCAAGAAAUGACAAAUAGAAGCUAAUUAGUUCCCCUGUUAUAUGAUAGUACUGAGGGGAAAAUACCCUCUCUUGAUCUUUUACCUGACCUAAAAUAUCUCCACACAGAAGAGACAUACUUAUUCUAAUGACCUGAUGCACCCAGGCCAAUUUCAAAAAAGUAGAUAGUAGAUAUCUCUUUUUGAUGGAAAUUACCUUAAUGAUAACAUGGUAAUAAUGAUUAAAUUGCACCCAUGUAUUUGGUAUGUAAUGUAUGUAUGCAUGUAUACAUCAGAUGUUGUGCUUGAUACAUUAUGCAUCUUUAAUCUUUCAGUGUAUGAAUACUCCUAAUUUGUUGUUUUUUUCUUUCAGUGUAUGAAUACCACUAAUUUGUUUUACAUUACUUUGCUGACAAGGGUCCGUCUAGUCAAAGUGAUGGUUUUUCCAGUAGUCAUGUAUGGAUGUGAGAGUUGGACUAUAAAGAAAGCUUGAGUGCCAGAGAACUGAUGCUUUCAAAUUGUGAUGCUGGAGAAGACUCUAGAGAGUCCCUCAGAUUGCAAGGAGAUCAAACCAGUCAGUCCUAAAGGAAAUCAGUCCUGAAUAUUCAUUGGAAGGACUGAUGCUGAAGCUGAAGUUCCAGUACUUUGGCCAUUUGAUGUAAAGAACUCAUUUGAAAAGACCCUGAUGCUGGGAAAGAUUGAAGGCAGGAGGAGAAGGGGAUGACAGAGGAUGAGAUGGUUGGAUGGCAUCACCGACUCAAGGGACAUGAGUUUGAGCAAGCUCUGGGAGAUGGUGAAGGCAGAGAAGCCUGGCGUGCUGCAGUCCAUGGUUUCACAAAAAGUCAGACAUAAGUGAGCAACUGAUAACGACGAAGAACCUUUAGAACCUUCAAGAAACACUAUACUAAGCUACCAACGUUGUUCUACCUAUUGUGCAUGUGAGCUUUGGUCGUUAACUCAACCUUUCUAAAGUCUAUUUCCUCAUCCAUAACAUGGGAAUGAUAAAUCCCACAACAUUGUUGUUUAUUUAACCUUUGCUGUAGAAACUGGUAAGAGAGUUUCUUACCCUACAAAGAGGUCUGUGAAAGCAAAAGCUCCCUGUUUGCUCCAUGCCAUGAAGGUGGAAAGGAUGGACCUUUGUGUGUGUGUUACUCAGUUGUGUCCAACUCUUUGCAACC